AGAGUUUGAUUAUGGCUCAGGACGAACGCUGGCGGUGCGCCUUAUGCAUGCAAGUCGAGCGAAGCUUUUCAGUAGUUUACUACAGAAAAUGACUGAGCGGCGAACGGGUGAGUAACGCGUGAGCAAUCUACCUUAGUUACAGGGAUAGCCCGAGGAAACUCGGAUUAAUACCUGAUAUUCUUUAUUUCUCGCAUGAGAAUAAAAGGAAAGGUCAGCCGAACUAAGAUGAGCUCGCGUUCUAUCAGCUAGUUGGUGAGGUAAAAGCUUACCAAGGCUACGACGGAUAGCUGGUCUGAGAGGACGAUCAGCCACACUGGGACUGAGACACGGCCCAGACUCCUACGGGAGGCUGCAGCAGGGAAUAUUGUGCAAUGAACGAAAGUUUGACACAGCGACACCGCGUGUGGGAUGACGGAUCCAGGUUUGUAAACCACUUUCAGGAGGGAAGAAAAUGACGGUACCUCCACAAGAAGCCCCGGCCAACUACGUGCCAGCCGCCGCGGUAAUU
rnacentral:rRNA from 1 species